CCCCUAGAUGUUCUGGGCUGCACGCGCGCUACACUGAACAGUUCAACAAGUCUUAACCUUGGCCGAUAGGUCUGGGUAAUCUUUGAACGCUGUUCGUGAUUGGGAUAGACCUUUGCAAUUAUGGGUCUUCAACGAGGAAUUCCUAGUAAACGCAAGUCAUCAGCUUGCAUUGAUUACGUCCCUGCCCUUUGUACACACCGCCCGUCGCACCUACCGAUUGAAUGGUCCGGUGAAAUCUCGGGACGGCGGCUUGGUCGCUUGCGUCCGACUGCUGAAACUUGAUUAAACCAUAUCAUUUAGAGGAAGGUGAAGUCGUANCA
rnacentral:rRNA from 1 species